UAGCGACAGGCGAACCGGCGAAUGACGAGCCAGAUGUUUGCCGUCAUUCGUCAGGCACACCGCCGAAGCGAGAGAGACCGGCCGCGCAUCUGAGCGUUGGACUGUUCGGGCACCCGUCUGCCUGUUUUUCUAUUUUGGGAUUUAGCCUGGUUUGGUGGCCUCCCGGCGAAUUAUUGCGUUCAUUCGGAACUUCGACAUGGCAGCACUGCACUAUUGGACUACGGCAAGCUCACGUCGUCUGGUGGAGCUUCCUGCGGAAACUGCUGCUUACCUGGUGCCACAACGCUGGAUGAAUGCACAAAAAGCCCGCGACGAGCAUUCACAAAAAACAAAAUAAACGUUAAUUUUUCCUCAUUUCACAAGGUGUCUUGCGUCUUUAUGAAAUUGCACGUGGCACAUAUUCAAUGGAGGCUUGUGAAGAUCGUUCGGAAUCAAUUUUACUUAAAAUGAUUUACAAAUAAAUAUUUAAUAAAUAAAAAAUAAAUUUAUAAAGAAAUACUUGCUGCAAAAGCAAAAAAAAAAAAAAAAAAAACGGAGCCGGCGUGACGCGCACCAGCUAGUAUUCAAAACGGGCGCGCACAAAACCGAAACCGGAAGUAUGCUUCAGGUUUUAACAUCCACGGCUUGGUGCGCUGCAGUCAAUUCGACCGCUGGGCUCUAUGGGAGUGUCCGCUCUUGUUGUAUUCCGGCGUAAACUGGUGACACGCGCGUGGUAGAAGCGAAAUGCCGUACUAAAACGCUGCUGCCACGCACGGAAGUGACGUCACAGUUAUGAUGACGUUGUUUAAACAAGUAUGGCGUGUUCCGGUUUAUAGUUUUGCGCGCGCUGCUGGAGCUGCUUCAGCUUUUCAGCUUAGCUAAAACACAAUUUUACGGUUUCUUACUGUGUUGUGUGAUAGAAUGUUGUUCUAGUUAGUUGCGCUGGAAGAACCGGAUGGUGUUCGAGCUUGCGAUCUCGAGCCACACUUGGGCGCAACGCUGGAGCAGCUCGUUUCUUUAUGCCUUGGAGAGCGUUUAUGAACUUCAUCCGACCAAACACCAGAGAAAAGAGUGAUGCUGAUACAGACACACAAGUUUUUUUGGCAGUGGAAUAUGUUAACUGGACAAACUGCUGCAAGCGUUGCAUAGCAACAUGCAUUGAAGCUGGUGAGCAAGUUGAAGUGCAUGAUCUGCAAAUUUUCUGCCAAUAAUUUGCAUUGUCAGACAUCUGUGACGAAGGUGCAGAAAGGAUUGCUGGCAUCUGGACCAGGUUCUUGCUAAGUUCGUAGCAACUGCUAUUACACUGGAGGACAAAAUAAA